AGGAGGAUAGUUGUGUUAAACAAUUCUGUUAAAUAUUUUGAUCAACUGCCAAAAUGUUUUCCAAGGUGAUGGUAUUAUUUUACAAUCCCACCAGCAAU
rnacentral:pre_miRNA from 1 species